ensembl:lincRNA
CAGGCAGACGCUGCUGAAAGUAGAUUACGAGGGGGUUAAUACUGGGUUCAGGCUGCUGAGGUGGGGCUGCCAGUGAGCAGGCACCCACUGACAGGAGCCUGGCCUUUUGCUACCAGUAAGAAGGAGACAUCUAAGUUGCAGCAAGCAGCAGCAGCAGCAGCAGCAAGGGAAGUAAGCUUGAACCAAAACAGGAACCAGGUGGAACCAGAGAUGUCAUCGCUGGUGAAGGAAGACUUGGAGAAAAAACUGUUUAAGCCGCUGGCACAGAAUCUCUGCGAGUUUAUUGAGAUCGAGGUCUCUGUCCAGGACAGGUAUUUCCUCUGUGUGUCAGUGACCAAAACUGAUGAAGUAAAAAUCACCAUGGUGAAGCACUACAGAGUAGGGCUGGAUGAGAAGUAUGAAGUAACAAAAAGGUGGUCCUUGAGUGAUCUGCGGAUGAUUGACGGAAAAGAAGCAGAUACCGACAAUCCAUUCUUUGAUCUGCACUUCAAGAAAGUCUACAGCUUGGAGGCCUACAGCUGUGCCUCUAAGUACUCCUUUGCUCGAACGGUGAGCAGGCUGAACCACGUGUAUCUUAAGAAGGACUUGCACAUGGUCAACUUUGAUUCUACUUACAUUAACGAUGACUCCAUUUGGUCCUCCAACAACAAGGACUGCCUGGUCCUCAUGAGAAUAUGCUUUUACGCUUUCAAUCUUGUGUGCUUGUCCUUGUGUCCCCUGCCACUUUGAAGAUGUAACCCAAAGCCCUUCAUCCGCAUCUGAAGAAAAUGGCU